rnacentral:misc_RNA from 1 species
AGAAAUACUCUUAAUCUCCAAUAAAUCAAAAAGUCAAUAAAUUCCCACUUUGAGUAAGACAAAAACCUUCGAUCAAGAUUCAAAUUAAUCACAGCGAAAUAACAAUAUGCGAAACUCGUUGAUCCGUAGGAAGGGGAAAGAGGUGACGAAUUAUCCUUCCCCCACACCA